GGGUUGUGAGGUUAAGCGACUAAGCGUACACGGUGGAUGCCCUGGCAGUCAGAGGCGAUGAAGGACGUGCUAAUCUGCGAUAAGCGUCGGUAAGGUGAUAUGAACCGUUAUAACCGGCGAUUUCCGAAUGGGGAAACCCAGUGUGAUUCGUCACACUAUCAUUAACUGAAUCCAUAGGUUAAUGAGGCGAACCGGGGGAACUGAAACAUCUAAGUACCCCGAGGAAAAGAAAUCAACCGAGAUUCCCCCAGUAGCGGCGAGCGAACGGGGAGCAGCCCAGAGCCUGAAUCAGUGUGUGUGUUAGUGGAAGCGUCUGGAAAGGCGCGCGAUACAGGGUGACAGCCCCGUACACAAAAAUGCACAUACUGUGAGCUCGAUGAGUAGGGCGGGACACGUGGUAUCCUGUCUGAAUAUGGGGGGACCAUCCUCCAAGGCUAAAUACUCCUGACUGACCGAUAGUGAACCAGUACCGUGAGGGAAAGGCGAAAAGAACCCCGGCGAGGGGAGUGAAAAAGAACCUGAAACCGUGUACGUACAAGCAGUGGGAGCACAGAGCAAUCUGUGUGACUGCGUACCUUUUGUAUAAUGGGUCAGCGACUUAUAUUCUGUAGCAAGGUUAACCGAAUAGGGGAGCCGAAGGGAAACC
rnacentral:rRNA from 1 species